rnacentral:misc_RNA from 1 species
GAAAUGCGAUACUUGGUGUCAAUUGCAGAAUCUCGCGAACCAUCGAGUCUUUGAACGCAAGUUGCGCCCGAAGCCAUUAGGUUGAGGGCACGUCUGCCUGGGCGUCUCACAUUGCGUUGCCCGCGCCCCCUCUCCCCCCUUCCCCUUGUUGAAAAGGGGGGAAAGGAGGAAGGGCUGCGAGUGGAUGUUGGCACCCCGCGCUCGACCGCGUACGGUCGGCCCAAAAGCGAGUCCCCUGCGACGGACGACGCGUCACGACGAGUGGUGGUUGACACACCAUUGCGUCGCCUCGUGCGCAUCCGGGCCGUCUCGGGAGGCCUGUCGUGACCCUAUCGCGCCGCCGCCAAGGCAUUCCGAUCACGAUCCCAGGUCAAGCGGGAUUACCCGCUGAGUUUAA